ensembl:snRNA U6 U6 spliceosomal RNA
AUGCUCGCCUUGGCAGCACACACGCUAAAACGGAACAAUAGAGAGAAGAUUAGCAUGGCCCUCACGAAAGGAUGGCACAUGAAAGUUAGAAAACAAAAGGAAAUUU